CGUGGCAGGAGCAGGUUGUGUUCAAGGCUCUUUGUUCCUGUUCCUGUCUGAUAGCCAACGCGUCGCGCCGCGCCUGUGCAGUGAGCGAAGCUUUGUGGUGCAAAUGCUGAACUUUGCCUCGCCUCACUUGAAACGGCACCUUUGAAAAUGCCGGCAGAUGGCACGAGGCGGUGUUUUGACACGCUCGCUGAUGGCACAUCACGCAAUCAUACGUACAUGUGCAGCACGUUGCGCACAUGGAGAGGAAAGAAAAUGGAAUGAACUGUAAAUAUUUUUUGGGGAUGCCAAGUUGAUCAUUUUGUAAUUUUCAUUUAUAUUUAAACCUAUGUCCAUUUUCAUUACACUUAUAUAAAUAUCUACAGUAGUGAAUGAAUCAAGUAUCUGUGUCAAGAUCGGUACUGAAAAUAAAAGAAAAAAUAUUUGA